CACAGCGGCCAUAGCGGCGGGGAAACUCCCGGUCCCAUUCCGAACCCGGAAGAUAAGCUCGCCAGCGUUCCUUACUGUACUGAGUUGCGAGAGCACUUGGGAACUCUGGAUCGCUGCUAUGC
rnacentral:rRNA from 1 species